AACGAACGCUAUCGGUAUGCUUAACACAUGCAAGUCGGACGGACUAAUUAGGGCUUGCUCCAAUUAGUUAGUGGCAGACGGGUGAGUAACACGUGGGAAUCUGCCCAUCAGUACGGAAUAACUUUUAGAAAUAAAAGCUAAUACCGUAUAUUCUCUACAGAGGAAAGAUUUAUCGCUGAUGGAUGAGCCCGCGUCAGAUUAGGUAGUUGGUGAGGUAACGGCUCACCAAGCCGACGAUCUGUAGCUAGUCUGAGAGGAUGAUCAGCCACACUGGGACUGAGACACGGCCCAGACUCCUACGGGAGGCAGCAGUGGGGAAUAUUGGACAAUGGGCGAAAGCCUGAUCCAGCAAUACCGAGUGAGUGAUAAAGGCCCUAGGGUUGUAAAGCUCUUUUAGCAAGGAAGAUAAUGACGUUACUUGCAGAAAAAGCCCCGGCUAACUCCGUG
rnacentral:rRNA from 1 species